CGCACCAUCACUCUCAAGGACCAAUAGGUCCUUGGCUGCCACCAUGCUUUUUCUCAAGUGGCCUGCUAGCAGCACCUAGUUGAGCUAAACCUAGCUGAGCAACACUCAGGCGCUGUUUAAGUCAAAUAUUUUUCAAAGCAGAAACUGAUCCACAUCUUGGUUUAUGCAUUUAUGCUGCUAUGUGAUAGGAUCUGCUUUUUGUUUUGCAUAUGUACAUUCUCCUGUCACUCAACAUAAUUUUUUCUUACUGCCCAAGAUAAAUUAGCCAUUUCUAAUUCUAAUGGACAUGGAAAACAAAGAUUAUUUCCUCUUUUGCAGUUGUCCUUUAAACAUUUCAAAGCCCUGUCUUUUCCCUUCUGUAAACUGAACAAUGCUUUCCCAAACCAUUGUUUCUAAACACCUGAUUACUCUUACUGCCUUCUGUGACUCCAAAGGAGGAAUGGCAUCCUGGGCUACGGCUCCUGUGAUGGACUACAAGCCUUCAUCCGAUCAGUGCAGAGUUAUUGGAAAUAGAGCAAGGAAAGGAUCCGUGCAAUGAAUCAAACCUUUCAGCACACUCAGCUGCUGGGGAUGGGGGCAUACAUCUUCCUUUUCUGCAGCUAUGUGAAGCAACAACAACAAGCGCCGAGCCCGUGGCCUUUGACCUGCCAGCCUCAAACAACACCCUCUUUCUUCGCAUUAGAAAUGGAAACACGUCCUCUGCAGGAAUUUUCCACUUAAUAGCUCCUGCUUUCCUACCGGGGGCCUCAGUGCACCACCACUGCAAUGCUGUAUUUCUUUCCACUGCAGUUUGACAUUUUGCAGCCAGAACAACGAGCGGCAUUCACUCCAUCCUGCUUUUUGAAAAACAUAUCUCUACAGGCACACAGAAAGCACCCGGUGCAGCCGUCACCACAGGAAAAUGGCAGAGAGAUUUUGAAGAAUUGUGGGGUAAAUUUGGUAUUCUGUCUCUGAACCAAAUGAACAUACUUCCCUGGAAUUUCAUCACAGCGGCUCAACUGCUCAUCUAUAUUCUCCAAACAUGUCUGUUACACGGACCAGAAGAGAACUGCUGCUUCUCAUUGUGCAUAAGAGCGAGACUAGAUGACUGUGCAAGCAAGGCUGAGGUAGACACUUAAAAAAAUAAACGGUGUUGACCAGACA
rnacentral:lncRNA from 1 species